UUUAUGGAGAGUUUGAUCCUGGCUCAGGAUGAACGCUGGCGGCGUGCCUAAUACAUGCAAGUCGAGCGAACGGACGAGAAGCUUGCUUCUCUGAUGUUAGCGGCGGACGGGUGAGUAACACGUGGAUAACCUACCUAUAAGACUGGGAUAACUUCGGGAAACCGGAGCUA
rnacentral:rRNA from 1 species